rnacentral:rRNA from 1 species
UACAGAGGUCGCAAGCAUUAAUCGGAUUUACUGGGCGUAAAGCGUGUGUAGGUGGUUGUACAAGUCGGUUGUGAAAUCUCCGGGCUUAACUCGGAACGGUCAAGUGAUACUGUCGGACUAGAGUACAGAAGGGGCAACUGGAAUUCUCGGUGUAGCGGUGAAAUGCGUAGAUAUCGAGAGGAACACCUGCGGCGAAGGCGGGUUGCUGGGCUGAUACUGACGCUGAUGCGCGAAAGCCAGGGGAGCGAACGGG